rnacentral:rRNA from 1 species
UUGUAAAGUUAGUGGCGGACGGGUGAGUAACGCGUGAAUAACCUGCCCUGUACCGGGGGACAACAGUUGGAAACGACUGCUAAUACCGCAUAAGCGCACGGUUCCGCAUGGAACAGUGUGAAAAACUCCGGUGGUACAGGAUGGAUUCGCGUCUGAUUAGCCAGUUGGUGGGGUAACGGCCUACCAAAGCAACGAUCAGUAGCCGGCCUGAGAGGGUGAACGGCCACAUUGGGACUGAGACACGGCCCAAACUCCUACGGGAGGCAGCAUG